CGGAGGAAAAGAAACCAACAGGGAUUGCCUUAGUAACGGCGAGUGAAGCGGCAAAAGCUCAAAUUUGAAAUCUGGCACCUUCGGUGUCCGAGUUGUAAUUUGAAGAAGGUAACUUUGGAAUUGGCUCUUGUCUAUGUUCCUUGGAACAGGACGUCACAGAGGGUGAGAAUCCCGUGCGAUGAGAUGCCCAAUUCUAUGUAAAGUGCUUUCGAAGAGUCGAGUUGUUUGGGAAUGCAGCUCUAAGUGGGUGGUAAAUUCCAUCUAAAGCUAAAUAUUGGCGAGAGACCGAUAGCGAACAAGUACAGUGAUGGAAAGAUGAAAAGAACUUUGAAAAGAGAGUGAAAAAGUACGUGAAAUUGUUGAAAGGGAAGGGCUUGAGAUCAGACUUGGUAUUUUGCGAUCCUUUCCUUCUUGGUUGGGUUCCUCGCAGCUUACUGGGCCAGCAUCGGUUUGGAUGGUAGGAUAAUGACUAAGGAAUGUGGCUCUGCUUCGGUGGAGUGUUAUAGCCUUGGUUGAUACUGCCUGUCUAGACCGAGGACUGCGUCUUUGACUAGGAUGCUGGCAUAAUGAUCUUAAGCCACCCG
rnacentral:rRNA from 1 species